ACGUGAGCAACCUGCCCCUGACUCUGGGAUAAGCGCUGGAAACGGCGUCUAAUACUGGAUACGAGUAGCGGCCGCAUGGUCAGUUACUGGAAAGAAUUUUGGUUGGGGAUGGGCUCGCGGCCUAUCAGCUUGUUGGUGAGGUAAUGGCUCACCAAGGCGUCGACGGGUAGCCGGCCUGAGAGGGUGACCGGCCACACUGGGACUGAGACACGGCCCAGACUCCUACGGGAGGCAGCAGUGGGGAAUAUUGCACAAUGGGCGCAAGCCUGAUGCAGCAACGCCGCGUGAGGGAUGACGGCCUUCGGGUUGUAAACCUCUUUUAGCAGGGAAGAAGCGAAAGUGACGGUACCUGCAGAAAAAGCACCGGCUAACUACGUGCCAGCAGCCGCGGUAAUACGUAGGGUGCAAGCGUUAUCCGGAAUUAUUGGGCGUAAAGAGCUCGUAGGCGGUUUGUCGCGUCUGCUGUGAAAUCCGGAGGCUCAACCUCCGGCCUGCAGUGGGUACGGGCAGACUAGAGUGCGGUAGGGGAGAUUGGAAUUCCUGGUGUAGCGGUGGAAUGCGCAGAUAUCAGGAGGAACACCGAUGGCGAAGGCAGAUCUCUGGGCCGUUACUGACGCUGAGGAGCGAAAGGGUGGGGAGCAAACAGGCUUAGAUACCCUGGUAGUCCACCCCGUAAACGU
rnacentral:rRNA from 1 species